rnacentral:rRNA from 1 species
GACGAACGCUGGCGGCGUGCCUAACACAUGCAAGUCGAACGGAAAGGCCCUGCUUUUGUGGCGUGCUCGAGUGCCGAACGGGUGAGUAUCACGUGAGUAUCCUGCCCUUGACUUUGGGAUAACACCAGGAAACUCGGGCUAAUACAGCAUAGGAGCUCCUGCUGCAUGGUGUGCGUUGGAAAGUUUCGGCGGUGGGGGAUGGACUGGCGGCUUAUCAGCUUGUUGGUCGGGUAGUGGUUUACCAAGGCUUUGACGGGUAGCCGGCCUGAGAGGGUGAACGGCCACAUGAGGACUGAGAGACGGACCAGUCGGCAACGGUAGGCAGCGGUGGGGAAUAUUGCGCAGUGGGCGGAAGCCUGAUGCAGCAACGCCGCGUGCGUGAUGACGGGCUUCGGGGGGUAAACCGCUUUCGCCUGUGACGAAGCGUUAGUGACGGUAAUGGGUAAAGAAGCACCGGCUAACUACGUG